UACGGAGGGUGCGAGCGUUGUCCGGAAUCACUGGGCGUAAAGGGCGCGUAGGCGGCGCGGGCAGUCAACGGUGAAAGCUUGGGGCUCAACCCCGAGUCGGCCGUCGAUACUCCCGGGCUGGAGCACUGUAGAGGCAGGUGGAAUUCCGGGUGUAGCGGUGGAAUGCGUAGAGAUCCGGAAGAACACCGGUGGCGAAGGCGGCCUGCUGGGCAGUUCCUGACGCUGAGGCACGAAGGUCAGGGGAGCAAACGGG
rnacentral:rRNA from 1 species